rnacentral:rRNA from 1 species
GACGAACGCUGGCGGCGUGCCUAAUACAUGCAAGUUGAGCGAUGAAGCUUGGUGCUUGCACCAAUUUGAAGAGCAGCGAACGGGUGAGUAACGCGUGGGGAAUCUGCCUUUGAGCGGGGGACAACAUUUGGAAACGAAUGCUAAUACCGCAUAACAACUUUAAACAUAAGUUUUAAGUUUGAAAGAUGCAAUUGCAUCACUCAAAGAUGAUCCCGCGUUGUAUUAGCUAGUUGGUGAGGUAAAGGCUCACCAAGGCGAUGAUACAUGGCCGACCUGAGAGGGUGAUCGGCCACAUUGGGACUGAGACACGGCCCAAACGCCUACGGGAGGCAGCAGUAGGGAAUCUUCGGCAAUGGACGAAAGUCUGGCCGAGCAACGCCGCGUGAGUGAAGAAGGUUUUCGGAUCGUAAAACUCUGUUGGUAGAGAAGAACGUUGGUGAGAGUGGAAAGCUCAUCAAGUGACGGUAACUACACAGAAAGGGACGGCUAACUACGUG